AAGCUCGGUGGGAGCUUCGGUGAUGGCGAUGUUCUACAGGAGAGCGACGUCGCAAGCGUCGUCCUAAGGACUUGCAGCCCAAAAGUCCCCUAGAUGUUACCUGAUGGGGCUAUUUAUAGUCCCCGUAGAGAUGCCCAGGUGGCGGAGGUAUGGCCUGUCCUCAUCAUGAGAGGAGAUGAGUUUUAGACAGAUGGUGCGCAGCUAGAGCUUGCUGAGGCGUACGGCAUAGGCUGUUUCUGUGAAUAGUAUGGCGUUGGAUAUGGUACCUGAUUGAUAUGUCGUGGUGUGGCCAACAAGCAAAACAUGGUGCGGUGAGGCUGCUGCAGGGCAUGGCCGUAGCAUGUGGAUGACGAGAUCAACCUUCUGAGGUCGGCCUUUUGGGGCCGUCCUUAUGAGGUCGGCUCGGCCUUCUGGGGCCGUCCUUCUGAAAUCGGCCUUCGAAGCUCGGCCUGGAUUUUGGCGGGGGCGAGGUCUGCUCGGUCGGAAUUGGGUAACUCCAUGCCGGAAUAGGACGAUCCAUUCUGCCCCCCAUCAAUAGGCAUUUUCUUGGAUGAUGCAUUUAAUUUGGAAGGCCCGAGAUGGUCACGCGUUUGUGCAUUUUUUUAACGGCGAGGGGUUCCUGCCAUGCUGCAGCUGUUAGAAAUUGAGUUAUUCUCGAACAUUUUGGUGGUGGUAAUAAUUAAACCAGACAGAUAUCGAUUUGAUUCGGUGGAAUCUCUUGCAUAUCUUAUAUUAUAUGCUUGUUAAAUUCUAGAUAUAGCAUGCAUCCAUUUGAUUUGGUGGAAUCUAUAGCAUAUAUGCUUGUUAAAUUCUAGAUAUAGCAUGUAUAUGUGGAAAGAAGGUGGUGAUUGUUUAAUUCAUUUUGGAGAUUUGUUAACAGGGUAUGCGCUGAAUGCCUGAUAGUGGCAGAUUAAAUUGUUUGUGAUUCACCGCGAUUAAUCCUACACAACUUUGAGUUUAGUUCACGAGACCUGCUUCAAUAAUAUGACCUAGGACCUUGAAAUUGAAACUAUGUGAAAGCUAAGUUUUCAGCUUGGAUUAGACAUCAGAAUUCCCUUUGGACAAACAAUUGUAUGAAUAGUUACCACUUACUAAAAGAUAAUAAAUUUAUAGUCAAUUAAAUAAUAUUAAUGUUUUUUGAUAAGCAUUCUAUUUAGUUAUAGCCUUGUUAAAAUCAAUCGAGCUAUUCAAUAGUGUUAUCUAACUACUCUAUCGGCCAAGUGCCUGAUCAAUCUGAACAAAAAAUUUCAAUUAGUUCCAUAAAAUCAUUUGCUUAAUUGCAAGAAUAUGAAUUACUAUUGUUAUUAGUGUAUGUGGCACAUCAUCACAAGUGCAACAAUAUAAAGAGUUCAACUGUCUCCUAUGGUGAAGUAAUUGUUAAAAUAACUACGCAAAACUAAGCAGGCCUUGCAUAUGACUAUUGUCUAAAAUAAUAAGCAAGACAUAAUUUGGGAAGGUUCAUUAGCUCAGGGAAUUAAGCCUCACCACCAUGGUAGAGGAAUUAUAAAAGAGAUAUAAUUAGAUGAAUUUAUGGAAUACUUUAUGGAGCUAUUGAAGAACUAUAGAAACGGAAUAUCCAAUACCUAAAUAUUCUGAACUAGACACAGAACUGUUUUAUGUAUCAGAGCAAAUUCCAGAGGGCUGAAUUUAAGUCCAUUUAUGUUUUCUUUAUAUCAUGCUUCUCAUUGUUCUUCUUGUUAUUUUAUGGUUAUUGCUCAUGCUACUGGUCAAAUAUUCAAUAGUUUAUUGUAUUCUUCCAACUUAGAUUUAGUCUGGAUAAACUGACAGGGUGCUCAUUCAUUUCACACAAUAACUUCUUUAUUUGGGAAUAAAUUUUUGGUAUAGAGUGUGAAAGUGAUGCAACAAUCAGCAGAACAACAAAAAUACCAUUCUAGGUUUCAUUGCUGCCAACAUAUUUAUGCUGAUUGACUACAUGGUUGUGCUCAUUGUUAUUGAAUUCAUAUCUACUCAAAUGUUCGCUUUCCUGUUCAUAUUAUGCUCUGAUAUGUUAUCUUGUUCUUUAGAGGCAGCAGUUGAUAAUGGUCAAUUAAUUGCUUUCCAACCUAGAUCCCUUGCUCCUUGAGUGUCUCACUCAAUGUUUGCAGGUGAUCUAUUACUUAUAGCCAAAGUGACAGUUCGUAAUGCACAUACCCUCAAGAGGAUUAUGCUUCAGUAUUGUAAUCGAUCUUGCAGUACGUGAAUCUUUCCAAGUCACAUAUGCAUUUCAGCCAUAAAACUGAAACAGCUGCUCAAUUGAGCAUUCAAAAUGUGCUCCUUAUUCCUGUGAAAUAGGGUUAAUAAUCGACUUAAUUGGCACUUACCUCCAUUCCUUUAUACUCGAGUGCAAACUGCCCUGUUCCUCAAGCUGUUAUUCCGGCUCUUGAAAGAACUCUCGAAGGUAAUUUGUGGGAACAUGACACAAGCCAGAGGAAACUACAUUUGACUUCUUGGGAUAAUGUAUGUGCAUUCAAAGCAGAAGGUGGGUUCCUAGUACCGUAAUCCCUGUGGAGAUAGGUAGUUUCAUCUAAAUAUAGAUUCCCUGGGACCUGGAUGGAUUAUACAAAGUCGUGGAACUCUUCAGCAAUCUGGGAGGUUAUUUGUGCCAGUGCUUCAGGUUCUCCAGGAUUCCUUUCAUUGGUAGUUGGGUAACGGCCAUCAGAUUAAAUUAUUAGAGGAUGUGUGGCAUGUUAAGGUGCCACUGAAUCAAAUACCAAUUCCACUCAUUGUUGACUAUUGCCAGGAUGUUUAUUAGUUUCUUAAUUCAUUAGUUCUGAUCAGGAUUGGGAUGUUCAUAUGCUUAACUACAUGUUUCCAGGUGAGUUGGUUGAAAGAAUUUUGAGUAUCUCUAUUGCUAAGAACAACUUGGCUGAUAGAUUGGCGUGGGGUGAUAGUAACUCAAGUAAGAUUAGUACUUGGGAUGCUUACGAUCUUUAUCUCCACAACCUCUGCUGCAAAACAAUAUUAAAUUUAAUUGGUUCUGGAAGCAAACUGUUGCUCCAAGGGUUAAAUGCUCUGGCGGAAGGUCCCUUGGGGAUGCCUUCCUUGUAAAACUUUGUUAUCUCAGAGGCAUCUCCUAACCAAGCAAAGCUCAUGCUCUGAUGUUUGCACUGAUUGAAUGCCGGAUAUUCCUCAUAUUCUGGUCAACUCUCAGAUGGCUCCAGGAGUGCGGAGCUGUCUUGCUGCGGAACAAGCUAUUCCUGGGCUUUUCAGACACUUGGGGCCAUGAUGGAGGAUCUCGUGGAGCACCAGCUAACAGAGACAACCAAGUCCUGGACUUAUCAUGCUCGCUGGUUUGUGUGGUAUGCAAGGAAUAAAGUGAUCUUCCAGUGUAAUGACUUAAUAACUCUACUGUUCAUCAAUGCUGCUUCACUCAUGACCUCUACUGUUGUUCCAUGGCACUGGGGUGCUUCAUUCUACAAACCCCACAAAUUCACCUAUUGUGGUGUGGUGGGUACCCCCUCCCCAUGGUGUGGUUAAGGUCAAGUUUGAUGGUUCACUCAGCGGAAGAGAUGCGGGAGUCGGCUUCAUCAUCUGGGAUCAGACAGGGGAAGGUUCUCUAAGCUGGUUCAAGAGCACUACAAUCUAAGUCUGUACAAUGGUUGAAUUGUGGGCGGCAUGGGAAGGACUUGUCACUGAUGUGCACAAGCUGCAUCUUCAUCACAUUUGGAUGGAAGGGACUCUGUGACGGUCGAUUCAAUGGAUCAACAAUGCUGCUACCUUUACAAUGAGCCAGCUUGCUUCAGGUCAUCACAGAGCUUAAAAUCACUCUCUCCCCUUCCUUGCUGCACAAACUUAUUGGGGCAGAUUGGUCAGCUAUCAGAAGAUCAAAGCAAGACUUUCUUACUCGUGCAAACACUCCCUCCUGAGCUCUCUCCUGGUGGAUGCAGAUGGCUGGUUGUCUUUCUUUCCAUGAUACACAAACUUAUUACUUGCUACACAAACUUAUGGGGGCAGAUUGGUUAGCUAUCAGAAUAUCAGAGCAAGACUUUCUUACCCGUACGUGCACUUCCCCAUGAGCUCUCUCCUGGUGGAUGCUGAUGGCUUUGUUUGUCUUUCUUUUCUGUGAUACCUCCCAUUGUACCCAGAAAAGAAAUCUCUUUUGGUUGGACUACACAUUCAGAUGUAAAUUACUCUUAUCCACUAUAUGUUCUAGUCUAAACUGAAGCAAGUGUUGUGACAGGCCUGACUAAGGUUUUAUAUGAUUAUUUGAAAAUGGCAACGGCUUUGUUCUUGUUGGAA